rnacentral:tRNA from 1 species
GCGCCGGUGGUGUAAGGCGAACAUCGCUGCCCGGAACGCAGAAGAUGCGGGUUCGAGUCCCGCCCGGCGCA